rnacentral:rRNA from 1 species
UACGUAGGGUGCAUGCGUUGUCCGGAAUUAUUGGGCGUAAAGAGCUCGUAGGCGGCCUGUCGCGUCUGCUGUGAAAUCCCGGGGCUUAACCCCGGGCGUGCAGUGGAUACGGGCUGGCUGGAGGCAGGCAGGGGAGAACGGAAUUCCCGGUGUAGCGGUGAAAUGCGCAGAUAUCGGGAGGAACACCGGUGGCGAAGGCGGUUCUCUGGGCCUGUACUGACGCUGAGGAGCGAAAGCGUGGGGAGCGAACAGG